UCUUUGGUUGCUUGGCUGUAUGA
rnacentral:miRNA from 1 species